rnacentral:rRNA from 1 species
UAAGGGAACCUCGAGUGCCAGGUUACAAAUCUGGCUGUCGUGAUGCCUAAAAAGCAUUGCAUAGCAAGGGCCGGGCAAGACCGGUGCCAGCCGCCGCGGUAACACCGGCGGCUCGAGUGGUAACCGUUAUUAUUGGGUCUAAAGGGUCUGUAGCCGGCCGGAUAAGUCUCUUGGGAAAUCUGGCAGCUUAACUGUCAGGCUUUCAGGAGAUACUGUCUGGCUCGAGGCCGGGAGAGGUGAGAGGUACUUCAGGGGUAGGGGUGAAAU